rnacentral:rRNA from 1 species
CCUACGGGAGGCUGCAGUGGGGAAUAUUGCACAAUGGGGGAAACCCUGAUGCAGCGACGCCGCGUGAAGGAUGAAGUAUUUCGGUAUGUAAACUUCUAUCAGCAGGGAAGAAAAUGACGGUACCUGACUAAGAAUCCCCGGCGAAAUACGUGCCAGCAGCCGCGGUAAUACGUAGGGGGCAAGCGUUAUCCGGAUUUACUGGUUGGAAAGGGAGCGUAGACGGUAUGGCAAGUCUGAUGUGAAAACCCGGGGCUCAACCCCGGGACUGCCUUGGAAACUGCCGAACUCGAGUGUCUGAGAGGCAAGUGGAAUUCCUGGUGUAGCGGUGAAAUGCGUAGAUAUUAGGAGGAACACCAGUGGCGAAGGCGGCUUGCUGGACGAUGACUGACGUUGAGGCUCGAAAGCGUGGGGAGCAAACAGGAUUAGAUACCCGGGUAGUC